AAACAGUGCAGUAAACAUACUCUGGAUUGAGUGAUCGAAUCUAACCAUAGAUUAAUACAAUAUUACGUAUUACGUCUAUGAUCUAACCGUUGCAUGACCAUCUGUGUAUUAUGUAUGAUCGAAUCUUAAUCAUUGAAAACACUUCCGCGAUCAAGUUCGAGUUCCAGUACACAAACUUGCCAUACAAGCGGUCGUGAAUUUGUUGAAGAAAAGUAAUGAAUUACACAAUGAAAGUCGGCAUUAUUACCUGCAUUACCUGCAUGACUUGUAUGUUCCCAGUUGCUUUGACGAUGGGAGGGCCAAUCAGAAGACAGGCCGCUCAGCCAGAGAAAACUGUCCCCAUUGGAGGAUAUGUCACCUUGCCGUGUCCCCCUUUCCCGAACGAAACACGAAUAUUCGUGUACUGGAAGAAGAACGAUCACACUAUCUACUCUCUCGAAGUCCAGAGUAAUACCUCAUGGACAAACGAUACCAGAUAUGAGGGCAGCAGCAAUGCUACACGUUUAACGAUCAGGGACCUCAAGAAGACAGACAGUGGAAUCUAUCACUGUAAAGUGGCGACACUUCUCUUCAUUGAGGAACGUGGCCAUGUACUGCUAUCUG